rnacentral:lncRNA from 1 species
UUGAAAUGCUUUUUUCCAACCUUUUUGGUAGAUUAUGAGUUAGGAACUUACACUUAGGAUUUGCUUGGUCGUUUUGAAAACUCAAGUAAUACAUAAACACGUUUUGAGCAUGUUUUAGGUUGGUUUGAACUAAGUUUGUUGCACUUACACACUUGGUUGCCAUUUUGGGUCUUCUAGUGCUUUUUUCACACUAUUUGAACUUUUUUCGUAGCUUAUGAGUUACGAAACUACACGUAAGCUUUUUUAGGUCGUUUUGAAAGUUCAAUGAUACUUAGACACGUUUUGAACUCGUUUUAGGUAUGUUUGAAACUAAGUUUUAAACACAUUUGAUUGACAUGUUGGGUCUUGAAGUGCUUUUUUCACACUUUUUGAAAUUUUGGUAGGUUGUGAGUUACAAAGUUACACUUAAGCAUUGCUUGGUCGUUUUGAAAAUUCAAGUGAUACUUACACACGUUUUGAAUACAUUUUAGGUGAGAUUGAGUUUGUUGCACUUACACACUUGGUCGUCAUUUUUGGUCUUGAAAUGCUUUUUUCAACCUUUUUGGUAGAUUAUGAGUUACGAACUUACACUUAGGAUUUGCUUGGUCGUUUUGAAAACUCAAGUAAUACCUAGACACGUUUUGAGCACGUUUUAGGUUGGUUUGAACUAAGUUUGUUGCGCUUACACAUUUGGUUGCCAUUUUGGGUCUUGUAGUGCUUUUUCCACACUAUUUGAACUUUUUUCGUAAGUUAUGAAAUACGAACCUACACGUAAGAUGUUUUAGGUCGUUUUGAAAGUUCCAGUGAAACUUAGACACGUUUUGAACUCGUUUUAGGUUGGUUUGAAACUAAGUUUUAAACACAUUUGAUUUAUAUGUUGGGUCUUGAAGUACUUUUUUCGGUAGGUUGUGAGUUACAAACUUACACUUAAGCAUUGCUUGGUUGUUUUGAAAACUCAAGUAAUACAUAAACACGUUUUGAGCACGUUUUAGGUUGGUUUCAACUAAGUUUGUUGCACUUCCACACUUGGUUGCCAUUUUGGGUCUUGUAGUGCUUUUUUCACAGUAUUUGAACUUUUUUCGUAGGUUAUGAGUUACAAACCUACACGUAAGCUUUUUUAGGUCGUUUUGAAAGUUCCUGUGAAACUUAGACACGUUUUGAACUCAUUUUAGGUAUGUUUGAAACUCAGUUUUAAACACAUUUGAUUGACAUGUUGGGUCUUGAAGUACUUUUUUCACACUUUUUGAAAUUUUGGUAGCUUGUGAGUUACAAACUUACACUUAAGCAAUGCUUGGUCGUUUUGAAAAUUCAAGUGAUACUUACACACGUUUUGAAUACAUUUUAGGUG